UAAAACCCUUGGUAGCCAGGACUUGGGGA
rnacentral:piRNA from 1 species